AACCUAGCACACCUGCGGUGUGUACCUGCGGAGGGAUCAUUAAAAAUCCUGUCGGACGGGGCAACCCUGAAGGCAUUUUAAUAACCUUUCAACUCUUGUGAACUCGUUUGCCUCUUCCGCAAGGGAGACGGCAUGCUACCUACAAACAUAACUGUAAUGAAUGUAAACCAAACAUAACAAAUACAACUUUCAACAAUGGAUCU
rnacentral:misc_RNA from 1 species